CCAUAGCUCAGCUGGGAGAGCGCCUGCCUUGCACGCAGGAGGUCGGCGGUUCGAUCCCGCCUGGCUCCACCAU
rnacentral:tRNA from 1 species